rnacentral:rRNA from 1 species
CUUUCUUUGCUGGCGACCGGCGCACGGGUGAGUAACACGUAUCCAGCCUGCCCUUUACUCGGGGAUAGCCUUUCGAAAGAAAGAUUAAUACCCGAUAGUAUAAUGAUUCCGCAUGGUUUCAUUAUUAAAGGAUUCCGGUAAAGGAUGGGGAUGCGUUCCAUUAGGUUGUUGGUGAGGUAACGGCUCACCAAGCCUUCGAUGGAUAGGGGUUCUGAGAGGAAGGUCCCCCACAUUGGAACUGAGACACGGUCCAA